rnacentral:lncRNA from 1 species
AUGUUUUUAUUUGUCCUGUGUGAAGUCACAGGAAGUUUGGUGCUCCCAGUUUGGCAGUAUGUCCUUCAGUCUGCAGUGUUCAGUGAGAAGACAACUAUUAAACAGUGGAUCAUAGCAUCAUCUUUCUGUGAUUGGAGGUACCUGACAGGUGAACUUCCUCACAUCAAUGCACUGCCAAUGUGCUCCCCAGGUUCAUUGAGCCACACGUUUCAUAAGGGCACAUCUGACAUGUUGAACGGGCUAGAUAUCAAGACCAGUCCUUGA